rnacentral:rRNA from 1 species
AAAUUGAAGAGUUUGAUCAUGGCUCAGAUUGAACGCUGGCGGCAGGCCUAACACAUGCAAGUCGAACGGUAGCACAGAGAGCUUGCUCUCGGGUGACGAGUGGCGGACGGGUGAGUAAUGUCUGGGAAACUGCCCGAUGGAGGGGGAUAACUACUGGAAACGGUAGCUAAUACCGCAUAACGUCGCAAGACCAAAGUGGGGGACCUUCGGGCCUCA